AACGAACGCUGGCGGCGUGGAUUAGGCAUGCAAGUCGAACGAGAACCUCGAGCUUUUAUUGUUCGCAAUUAAAGCCCGGGGGGACAGUGGCGAACGGGUGAGGAACACGUAAGUAAUCUGCCCCUAACUGUGGAAUAACUCCUCGAAAGAGGCGCUAAUACCACAGUGGCCCCCCGAUGGCAUCAUCGGGGGAUUAAAGAUGUGUCCCGCUUGCGGGAUAUGUCGGUUAGGGAUGAGCUUGCGUCCUAUUAGCUUGUUGGUAGGGUAAUGGCCUACCAAGGCUCUGAUGGGUAGCUGGUCUGAGAGGACGGUCAGCCACGCUGGGACUGAGACACUGCCCAGACUCCUACGGGAGGCUGCAGUCGAGAAUCAUCCGCAAUGGGCGAAAGCCUGACGGUGCGACGCCGCGUGGAGGAUGAAGGUCUUCGGGUUGUAAACUCCUUUCACCCGGGAAGAAAAAUCAUCUCGUGAAUAACGGGACGACCUGACGGUACCGGGAGAAGAAGCCCUGGCUAACUCCGUGCCAGCAGCCGCGGUAAUACGGAGAGGGCGAGCGUUGUUCGGAUUUACUGGGCGUAAAGGGCAUGUAGGUGUCCCGAUAAGCUCUGGGUGAAAUUUCCGCGCUCAACGCGGAAACGAAUCAGAGAACUAUCGGGAUUGAGUUCAGGAGAAGAGAGUGGAAUUCUCGGUGUAGCGGUGAAAUGCGUAGAUAUCGAGAAGAACACCAGCGGCGAAGGCGGCUCUCUAUUCUGAAACUGACACUCAAAUGCGAAAGCGUGGGGAGCAAAUGGGAUUAGAUACCCCAGUAGUCCACGCUGUAAACGAUGUGCACUUGGUGUAUUCCUUUUUAUGGGGUGUGCCGGAGCUAACGCGUUAAGUGCACCGCCUGGGGAGACGGCCGCAAGGCU
rnacentral:rRNA from 1 species